UUGAACGCUGGCGGCAUGCCUUACACAUGCAAGUCGAACGGCAGCACGGGUGCUUGCACCUGGUGGCGAGUGGCGAACGGGUGAGUAAUACAUCGGAACAUGUCCUGUAGUGGGGGAUAGCCCGGCGAAAGCCGGAUUAAUACCGCAUACGAUCUACGGAUGAAAGCGGGUGACCUUCGGGCCUCGCGCUAUAGGGUUGGCCGAUGGCUGAUUAGCUAGUUGGUGGGGUAAAGGCCUACCAAGGCGACGAUCAGUAGCUGGUCUGAGAGGACGACCAGCCACCCUGGGACUGAGACACGGCCCAGACUCCUACGGGAGGCAGCAGUGGGGAAUUUUGGACAAUGGGCGAAAGCCUGAUCCAGCAAUGCCGCGUGUGUGAAGAAGGCCUUCGGGUUGUAAAGCACUUUUGUCCGGAAAGAAAUCCUUGGCCCUAAUACGGUCGGGGGAUGACGGUACCGGAAGAAUAAGCACCGGCUAACUACGUG
rnacentral:rRNA from 1 species